GUAUCCUGGCUCAGGACGAACGCUGGCGGCGUGCUUAACACAUGCAAGUCGAACGAAGAGCGAUGGAAGCUUGCUUCUAUCAAUCUUAGUGGCGAACGGGUGAGUAACGCGUAAUCAACCUGCCCUUCAGAAGGGGGGACGAACAGUUGGAAACGACUGCUAAUACCGCAUACGAUCUAACCUCGGCAUCGAGGAUAGAUGAAAAGGUGGCCUCUAUUUAUAAGCUAUCACUGAAGGAGGGGA
rnacentral:rRNA from 1 species